AGCAUAUCAAUAAGCGGAGGAAAAGAAACUAACAAGGAUUCCCCUAGUAACUGCGAGUGAAGCGGGAAAAGCUCAAAUUUGAAAUCUGGCGGUCUUUGGCCGUCCGAGUUGUAAUCUAGAGAAGUGUUACCCGUGCUGGACCAUGUACAAGUCUCCUGGAAUGGAGCGUCAUAGAGGGUGAGAAUCCCGUCUCUGACAUGGACUACCAGGGCUUUGUGGUAUGCUCUCAAAGAGUCGAGUUGUUUGGGAAUGCAGCUCAAAAUGGGUGGUAAAUUCCAUCUAAAGCUAAAUAUUGGCGAGAGACCGAUAGCGAACAAGUACCGUGAGGGAAAGAUGAAAAGAACUUUGGAAAGAGAGUUAAACAGUACGUGAAAUUGCUGAAAGGGAAACGCUUGAAGUCAGUCAUGUCAGCCGGGGAUCAGCCUUGCAUUUGCAUGGUGUACUUUCUGGUUGAUGGGUCAGCAUCAAUUUUGACUGCUGGAAAAAGGCUUGGGGAAUGUGACAGCUCYGGCUGUGUUAUAGCCCCUUGUCAUAUACAACAGUCAGGAUUGAGGAACUCAGCACGCCGCAAGGCCGGGUUUCGACCACGUUCGUGCUUAGGAUGCUGGCAUAAUGGCUUUAAGCGACCCGUCUUGAAACACGGACCAAGGAGUCUAACAUGCCUGCGAGUGUUUGGGUGGAAAACCCAAGUGCAUAAUGAAAGUGAAAGUUGAGAUCCCUGUCGUGGGGAGCAUCGACGCCCGGACCAAAACUUUUGGGACGGAUCCGCGGUAGAGCAUGUAUGUUGGGACCCGAAAGAUGGUGAACUAUGCCUGAAUAGGGUGAAGCCAGAGGAAACUCUGGUGGAGGCUCGUAGCGAUUCUGACGUGCAAAUCGAUCGUCAAUUUGGGUAUAGGGGCGAAGACUAAUC
rnacentral:rRNA from 1 species